GAGUUUGAUUAUGGCUCAGGAUGAACGCUAGCGAUAGGCUUAACACAUGCAAGUCGAGGGGCAUCACGGGAUUAGCUUGCUAAUCUUGGUGGCGACCGGCGUAAGGGUGCGUAACGCGUAUGCAACUUGCCUGUCAGUGGGGAAUAACCCGGAGAAAUCCGGACUAAUACCGCAUACACUUUGGUUUCCGCAUGGGGGCUUUAGGAAAGAUUUAUUGCUGACAGAUAGGCAUGCGUUCCAUUAGAUAGUUGGUGAGGUAACGGCUCACCAAGUCGACGAUGGAUAGGGGAGCUGAGAGGCUUAUCCCCCACACUGGAACUGAGACACGGUCCAGACUCCUACGGGAGGCAGCAGUGAGGAAUAUUGGUCAAUGGGCGAGAGCCUGAACCAGCCAAGUCGCGUGAAGGAAGACGGUCCUAUGGAUUGUAAACUUCUUUAGUAGGUGAGUACAAGCAGUUACGUGUAGC
rnacentral:rRNA from 1 species